rnacentral:lncRNA from 1 species
UUUCCUCGCACUCGCUUUAUCUUAUUUAAUUUCCCGCACUCGCUUUACUUUUAUUAAUUUCACGCACUCGCUUUACUUUAUUUAUUUCUCGCACUCGCUUUAAAUUAUUUAUUUCCUCGCACUCGCUUUAAAUUAUUUAUUUCCUCGCACUCACUUUAAAUUAUUUAUUUUCUCGCACUCGCACUACUUUUAUUUACUUUCCGCACUCGCACUACUUUUAC